rnacentral:rRNA from 1 species
CACGUAGGGCGCGAGCGUUGUCCGGAAUUAUUGGGCGUAAAGAGCUCGUAGGCGGCCUGUUGCGUCCGCUGUGAAAGCCCGGGGCUUAACCCCCGGGGUCGGCAGUGGAUACGGGCAGGCUAGAGGUAGGUAGGGGGAGAAUGGGAAUUCCCGGUGUAGCGGUGAAAAUGCGCAGAUAUCGGGAGGAACACCGGUGGCGAAGGCGGUUCUCUGGGCCUUACCUGACGCUGAGGAGCGAAAACGUGGGGGAGCGAACAGG